UACGUAGGGGGCAAGCGUUGUCCGGAAUCAUUGGGCGUAAAGCGCGUGUAGGCGGUCCGGUAAGUCGGUUGUGAAAGUCCAGGGCUCAACCCUGGGAUGCCGAUCGAUACUGCCGGACUAGAGUCCGGAAGAGGCGAGUGGAAUUCCCGGUGUAGCGGUGAAAUGCGCAGAUAUCGGGAGGAACACCAAUGGCGAAGGCAGCUCGCUGGGACGUAACUGACGCUGAGACGCGAAAGCGUGGGGAGCAAACAGG
rnacentral:rRNA from 1 species